rnacentral:lncRNA from 1 species
UUUUUUUUUUUUUUUGGUAGACUGAAACAACAUACAACUUUCUUUACUUAGAAGUGAUAAUGGUUGAGAGUAAACUCUGACAUCACAUACAGGUUGUAGGAGCUUCCUGGUAACAGAUAUUUUUGGUAUGUAAACCAGUGAUGGCUCACAUCAUUACCAGUUCCAAGCCCUGACAGAUGAUUCGCAUUAUGCAGAAUGCCUUCGUGCUACACAGGAAGAGCCCAGAUGAGAACGCCUGGCAGAUAAGCAGGAUGUCAUCUGGACCAGCCGUUUGCAUCCAGGUGGAUAAAUACUAACUGCCAUUGUGUAGAAAAGCUGGAGGCUUCCAGCUGUGGUUUCAUCACUCAAUUAGAUUCAGGAAGAGUUAUUUUGUAUUUCUACUUCUUUCCCCCCUUCUUUGAUUCUUUGUAGAGAAAAAAAAUAAAUUCUUUUUUUUAAAAAAAGCUUUUCCUAUUCCCCAAGAAUGGUUAUUAUGACCAAAAGCUUUCUCUUCUAACAACUGAAAAUAGAGCACUCCACCCUUCGGCUGAAGCACAGGGCUUGUUCUCAGUCUCUAGGGCUUUGUGCUCCUUGAGCCCUCUCCACAGUAUCCACUUCCCUUUUCAAGUGAGACCCCAGUGGACAAUACCUUAGGAAGAGUCUAAAGGAUGCUGGUCAGAAGGGCAGGCUUAUUUCUGUCUCUGACACUUGUGGCAUCUGGGGCUUCUCAUCAUUCUUCAUCUAAAAUAGAACCUGGAACAUAUUUUCAGGUGCUUCAGAAUCUUUUCUACUGCUCCGCUGUCAUCGCAUUUCAGCUUUUCUAAUUUGCCUCUUUCUCCUCCUUCUGAAACUUUCCCAUCAUCAAAGACUGGAGUGUCCUUUCCUCAUAUUACAAAUCACAACACCACCACAAUUGACCUGGAGAUGCCAGUGAAUAAGAGACCUCAUAAUAUUGCUGAAUUUCAAGCCAUUAUUGAAAAUAUAGAAACCUGGAACAAAUUGCUUUUUGUGAACUUUUUCUAGGAGCUAUAUACAUGUGAGUAGAAGAAAUGCAUUGAAGAGAUAAUGAGAUGGAAAAUGAGACCCUCUGAGUCAUACCAGAAUAAGAAGAAGGUUAAUACAGACAGACCUCAGAGAUAUUGCAGGUUUGUUACAGAUCACCAGAAUAAAGUGAUGAUCUCAAUAUGGCAAAUCACAUACAUUUUUUUUGGCUUCCCAGUGCAUAUACAAGUUAUGUUUAUACUAUAUUGUAGUCUAUUAUGUGUACAAUAGCAUUGUGUCUGAAAUACAAUGUACAUAUCUUAAUUAAAACACAUUUAUUGCUAAAAAUCAUGAGCUUUCAACAACUCAAUUUUCUUUUUCUGGUGGAGGAUCUUAUCUCAGUCUUGAUGGCUGCUAACUGAUCAGGAUGGUGGCUGCUAAAGCUUGGGGUGGCUUUGGCCAUUUCUUAAAAUAAGAAUAACAUUUUCCCCAUUGAUUGACUCUUCCUUUCAUGAACAAUUUCUCUAUGCUGUUUGGUCACAUUUUACCCACAGUAGAACUUCUUUCAAAAUUGGAAACAAUCUUCUCAAACUCUCCUGCUGCUUUAUCAAAGAAAUAUAUGUCACAUUCUAAAUUAUUUGUUGUCAUUUCAAUAAACUUCCCAGCAUCUUCAUCAGCCAUACUUUCCACCUCAAAAAACCACUUUCUUUGCUCAUCAAUUAGAAGCAAUUCCUCAUCCAUUCAAGGUAUAUAAUGAGAUGCAGCAAUUCAGUCCCAUCUCCAGGUUCCACUUCUAAUUCCAGUUCUCUUGCUGUUUGCACCACAUCUGCAGUUGUUUCCUCCACUGAAGUGUUGAAUCCCUCAAAGACAUCCGUGAGGGUUGGAAUCAACUCCUUCCAAACUUCUAUUAAUUUUGACAUUUUGAACCCUUUGCAUAAUCAUGAAUGUUUUAAUGGCAUCUGGAAUGGUGAAUCUUUUCCAGAUGAUUUUCAGUUUACUUUACCCAAAUCCAUCAGAGGAAUCACUGUCUAUGGAAGCUAAGCUUUAUGAGAUGAAUUUCUUAAAUAAUAAGGUUUGAAAGUAGGAAUUAUUCUUUGAUCCAUGGGCUAAAGAACUGUUGUUUUAUUAAUAGGCAUAUAAACAAUAUCCAUCUCAUUGAAUACAUCCACCAGAGCUCCUGAGGUAACUAGGUUCAUUGUCACUGAGCAGUAAUAUUUUAAAAGGAAUUUUUUUUUCCUGAGCAGUAUAUCUUAACAGUGGGCUUAAAAUAUCCAGUAAACCAUGUUUUAAACAGAUGUGUUGCCAUGCUGGUCUUGUUUUUUCAUUUAUAGAGAACAAGUGGAGUAGAUUUAGCAUAAUUCUUAAGGGUUCUAGGCUUUGGGGAAUGAUAAGCAAGCAAUGGCUUUGGCUUAAAGUCACCAGGUACAUUAACCCCCAAUAAGAGAGUCCGUCUUUUGGAGCUUUCAAGUCAAGUAGUGACUUCCCUCUAGCUAUAAAAGUCCUAGAUGGCAUCUUCUUCCAAAAGAAGGCUAUUUCAUCUAAACUGAAAAUCUGUGGCUUAGUGUAGACACUUUCAUUAACUAUCUUAGCUAGAUCUUCUGGAUAACUUGCUACAGCUUUUACAUCAGCAUUUCCUGCUUCACUUGCACUUUGAUGUUAUGGGGAUAGCUUAACCAAUGUAAUACAAUGGCCAAAACCAUUCUAAUUUUGCCACCAUUCAAAUUAACAGCACAUAACAAAGAGCUGGCACAAAGCAAGGACUCUGUAUAUAUUUAGUAAUUGAAUUAAUUGAUGUUUCUCAAUUUUUAGCUUAGUUAAAGCAGCCCAUAUCUUUAUCCAGUUUAUUCCUUUUAAUCAUAUAACAUUUGCUCUCCAACUCCAAGUCACAUUCAAAGACACAUCUAUUUUAGAAAAUCUUCAGUAGUUAAUACUGCCUAGAUGAAUAUGUUUCCACAUUGAUAGUUUACCUAGUUCUAUUUGUGAGAGUAUUUAAACAGGUACUCAGUUAAGAUUCCCAAGUGUCUUCUGAACAAAAAUAACCGGAUAUUUGUUGGCUACUUUAAAAACAAACAAACAAACAAACAAACAAAAAAAACUAGUUCAACUCACCUGAAAGCAAAGAAGCUGGCAUUUCCUGAGAUUAAGAGAGGAAAUGGUGGUAUCAUGGCAGCUAGAAUGCGGAGAUUUGGCUUUGAGGAUGUAGGGUCUGAGAGAAGCGCUAGGCCUGGCUGACCUCCAUGUGGAGGUAGGAAUGGACAGCUUGAUUGGAAAGUGGAGGUACAUGAUGGAGAUGGACAUUUAGAAAUUGUUGGCAUAUGAAUGGAACUGGGCUAACAUCACCUAUGAAGUGAUGAUAGAGGGAAAAGAGGUGAACACUCACGGCUAAGUCACUCCAGUGUUUGGAAGAAUAGAGAGGAUGACCCUGCACAGAAAACCAGGAGUGGCUAAUGAGGCAGGACAAGAAUCAAGGGUCUCAGAAGACAGAUACAAAAAUCAUGAAAAGAAAUACUGAAUGACAACUCUAUCAAAUUCUGUUUGAAGGAAGAUAAUAAGUUGCCAAAAGGAGGGGAAAAGGAGUGAGAUGGACUGGGGGUUUGGGGUUAGUAGAUGCAAACUAUUAUAUUUAGAAAGGAUAAGCAAUGACAUCCUACUGUAUAGCACAGGGAAGUUUAUCCAAUCUCUUGGGAUAAAACAUAAUGGAAAUAAUAUAAGAAGAUAAUGGAAAUAAUAUAAGAAAGGAAAUAUAUGACUGGGUCAUUCUGCUGUACAGCAGAUACUGGCACAACAGUGUAAAUCAAAUACACUUAAAUUUUAAAAAAUUAAAUAUUACUCAGACAUAAAAAAGAACAAGAUAAUGCCAUUUGCAGCAAGUGGAUGGAAUAAGAGAUUCUCGUACUAAGUCAGUCAGAAAGAAGACAGAUACCAUAUGAUAUCACUUAAAUGUGGAAUCUGAAAUAUGGCACAGAUGAACCUAUCUACAGAACAGAAAUAGACUCUCAGACAUGGACAGCAGAUUUGUGGUUGCCAUAGGGGAGGGGGAGGGUGUGGGAUGGACUGGGUGUUGGCAGUUAAUAGAUGCAAACUGUUACAUUCAGAAUGGAUAGACAAUGAGGUCCUGCUAUAUAGCACAGGGAAUGAUGUCCAAUCACUUGUGAUCGAAUGUAGUAACAGAUAAUGAGUGUAGAGAUGUAUGACAGGGUCACUUUGCUGUAAAGCAGGAACUGAUAGAACAGUUUAAAUUGACUAUAAUAAUGGUAAAGAAUCAAGCAUUGUAUUUGGAAAUGUGACCACAAGGUGGUUUUCAUGGAAAUACUGGAGAAAGAAAGAAUAAAAGGAAAUAAAAAGAAGGGGAAAAGCAGGUAUUGACAACUUGUGAGAGUGUUACAGCAGAGAAGAGCAGGGAAACGGACAGUAGUUGAAGGGGGAUUGUGGAUCAAAGGGAUUAUUUCAAGAUGGAAUAAAAAUCACAUCACAUGAUUUUAUGCUAUUGAGAAUUAUCCAUUCAGCACAUGUGAUGAGACUGAAGAGGAAGAAAAAAACCAGAUACCUUAAUCUGUGAGUAGGUGAGAGAAGUUGGAAUGUAAACUUCGCAUGCGUGUCAGUUUUAAUACAGAAGACUAACUAGUGGUUUUAAAAUACCAAUGACUUUUUUAAAACAUGUGCUCACACAUGUGCUUCUUACAAGAUUGCAAAAGGGUUUCAGAAGUAACUCAUACAUGGAAUAUAUGUAUGACAACUAAUGGAAUUAAAAAUUUCCCAAGCAAUGCCAAUGAAAACAGAUAGUCUUAAUACUGAACUUUUCCACAAAGAAGCCUUAACAUGACAUCAACCUUGUUAUUUGAAACAUAUGCAAGAGUUUUGAUGUUCAAUAUUUAAAUAUAUUGCAUUCAAGCCAUGCAUUAGAAGCUGCAUGCAUGAUCAAUCAUGUGUGUAGCACUCAGAUUUUGAACUACAUGCUUUAGAUGUAGUUUCUGCCACAUUCAUGUUUUAACUCCCUUGUUGUGACCAGAGAGCGGAAGAAAUUGGCUGAUGUCCUUAUCAUCCUUUGUCUUCUCAUUUCAAAGUAUAUGAAAGUACUUGGAUAGAUUCCCAGAACAUUGAGUAUGACCACAGUGCAGAACAAGAAAGCGAUGAACAAUAGACAGAAGAAGAAAAUUUUCUUUGGAGGAAACUAAGAACAAUUUUGGAGACAUUUUGUUAAUCCAAAGACAAAUUAAGUCCAAUAGAAAUACUGAAGCUAUAGAGAAAGGCCUUGGAAAUAAAAACAUAUUCAAAAACAAUUUAUAAACUUGAGAAUAAUAACUAUUUGUUGGAUAAACCAUUCAAAGAAUACCAGAAGUAAGAAUAAAGGAAGUGAGUGUGUAGAGCAAUGGCUGAUUUUCAUAAAUUUGCCCACAAGUCUAUACCUCAAGAAGAAAGAGCAGAGAUGGAAAAUGCAUACUGAAUGCUUCUCUGAGCUGACUCAGCUUUGAUUUCAGGCAUCUCUCAAUGAAGUGGGGCCACAGUUGUUGCCUAUUGUGAUGACUAGAUCUCACUCCUUCAGGAAAGCUUUUCUUGGUUUAAAGUCCUAGGCUCAAGAUGCUACUCAAAGAUGAAUAUGGCGGCUCUUCAACCGUGGCGACCCAUGUGAUAUCUUCAUCUGCCAUCACUGGUUCUUGUUUACUCAGGUUUUGAUUUGCUUUCAGGAGAAAACAUCACAUGUCUCAGAGGAGGGCUAUCCGCCCCAAACAC